CUACUUCUAGGCAUAUUGUCAAAUCACUGUUAAUAUGUAGAUUAAAGCAAAAAGUAAAUAACAUACAAGAAUGAGAGACACCCUGAAACCAAGAGGUUGCAUUUUCUGGUCCACUUCUUAGAACAGCUACAAAAAUAGAGUGGUAUAAAAAUGUCUGGUUCUGGGCACAAGACCUUUCUUUUGUUGCAGGUGUGGUGGAGGAGCAAUUCCAGCUUCUACAAGAGGAAAAGCACUUCAGGGGUACAGGGUGUAGAGAAGAAGAAGAAUGGUGGUGCACAUGGGAUAUGUAACCACCAAAGGGUGUGGAAGAAUCUGCCCGUGUCUUUGAGGAACUGCUGAGCUUUCCGAGAUCUUGCCCUUGACUGAGCCAUCCAAGGGAUAGCAACAUGGAGAAAGGAAUAAGGUAUACGUGUCUUCUGGAUCUAUCGAAGAGGGCUAGCAGAUGCUUAGUCUGCAAAGUUACAUGAAGGUAGAACUAGAAUCUGAAUCAGCUUUUCCCUGAAGAGACAAAGAUAAUAUCUUGAAAGUAAGUAUUGCU
rnacentral:lncRNA from 1 species